ACCCAUUAACAUUACCUUAAUUAACCAAUUUAAUAAGUUUGUUCAUUACUAAGCUACAACCCAAACAGAUUAACAGCCAACCCACUAACAUCGUCAAAAUUGUCUCAUUUAAUAUGUUAGUUUAUGAGGCGUGCUUUAUUUUACUUUUCUUAUUUCACAUAAUUUUUUGGCUGAUUUUCUCACCUUCCCCCUCCCAAGUUCAUAAAUUUGAGAAGGUUUGUUGAACUUCAAUGGCAACUUUCAGUGCAUUCUUUGAGAGAGGUUCAUAUGCGAAUGUUUGUUGCUGAGUGGCUAAAAUCCCUUAUUUUUAGGGUUUAUAGCUACGAUUGAUGGUUUAAUACAAUUUUUUCUAGUAUGAGAAGGGUUGUCUAAUGAUUUGUGCUUGAAUUAUUUUUUUACCAUUUUAAUUCUUGAUUAACAUUAGAAUAAACUUGUUGUCUGUUCUUGAACUCAGAAGAUAAAUAGAGGGAUAGACCAAA